AACGCGAAGAACCUUACCUGGGCUCGAAGCGUAGUGGACCGGGGUGGAAACAUCCCUUGCCCGCAAGGGCCUGCUACGGAGGUGCUGCAUGGCUGUCGUCAGCUCGUGUCGUGAGAUGUUGGGUUAAGUCCCGCAACGAGCGCAACCCUUACACUUAGUUGCUACCCGCAAGGGAGAACUCUAGGUGGACUGCUCCGGAUAACGGAGAGGAAGGUGGGGAUGACGUCAAGUCAGCACGGCCUUUAUGUCCAGGGCUACACACGUGUUACAAUGCGCGGCACAAACUGUUGCAAACCCGCGAGGGGGAGCUAAUCGGAAAAAACCGCGCUCAGUUCGGAUUGCAGUCUGCAACUCGACUGCAUGAAGCUGGAAUCGCUAGUAAUGGCGCAUCAGAUCGGCGCCGUGAAUACGUUCCCGGGCCUUGUACACACCGCAUAC
rnacentral:rRNA from 1 species